rnacentral:lncRNA from 1 species
CCAUGAAAGUAUUGUUAACAUCUUUAUUCAAAUACAGGAUUUAAUCUAAAAACAUAAAUGCCCACAGUUAUCACUGCACAAAUGACAGACUACUUGCUACAGAUAUUUUUACACAAGGAUCAUAACUUCUCAAACAGGAUUUAUUGUAAAAAGUAAAAGAACACUUUUUUUUUUUUUUUGAGACGGAGUCUUGGUCUGUUGCCCACGCUGGAGUGCAGUGACUUGAUCUUGGCUCACUGCAACCUCCGCCUCCCAGGUUCAAGCGAUUCUCCUGCCUCAGCCCCGCAAGUAGUUGGGACUACAGGCACACAUCACCACUCCCGGCUAAUUUUUGUAUUUUUAGUAGAGACGGGGUUUCGCCACAUUGGCCAGGCUGGUCUCGAACUCCUGACCUCAGGUAAUCCGCCCAUCUCGGCCUCCCAAAGUACUGGGAUUACAGGCGUGAGCCGCCACACCUGGCCCAGAACACGCUUUUUUCUUACCAACUACUGUUUUAAAUGUAUUAGCAAUUCCAUAAAAUAUAGUUUCCUCACCAUCAUUUCCCAAAUCUGAACUACAUUCUGUUGGCUAGAUUCUUAUGUGGAAUAACAUUCAAGUUUGGUCUUAGUGUAUCACAAUACAGGAUUGAUUUUAAAUACUCAAAAUUACAUGGUUUUCUGGUUUCCAACAGCUUUGCCAUUUAUCUGCAUUUCUUGAAUAAGGAAACAUCUUUCUAGUUCAUGUUUAUUUUCAUUUUGUAGUGUGUGUGUGUGCCUGUGUCAUGGCACCCUUUGUUAGAGAAGAGCCCCAACCUCCUAGAGAAUAGCAAGAAAUAACAAGACUCCAACGGAGACGACUAAGCAAGAAAGCAGGUUCACCAGCCACAACUCCAUUGGUACCAAUGUAGAUGAGAUUUGGUGGAUCAGAUGAAGAAAUUUAUUAUUCAACACAGCAUACAGUAGGAGUACCAGCAAGGUAGCACUGGUUGGCCUGUCCUCAAGUCCUAUGGAGUAAAUGCAAUGGGCCCGGACAGUGGUUGCACAUGCAGUGGUUUGCACCAUGACUGAGGGAUCCAGGGCUAAGGGCCUAGCAUCUUUUGUAGCAAGUGGCAAACCAACCAGCCUCCUUCCCUGAGGGAGUGAGCUGUUGUAUGGUAGUUAUGCUGUGGUCAUCUUAACCUAGUUAAAUGCCGAUGUGACUAGCUAGAAAUGGUUCAGUAUUAGGGGAAAGUUAGGCCUUGUGUUUGGCAUACUUCGCAAGCACAUGCAGAGAUGCUCAAGGCCACAGCAAACUGCCUGUCCCAAUAGAAGUCAAGGCCUGUCAUCAUCUGACUCUACCUUAUCUCUGCAGUGUCAUCUCAUGCAAUUUUUUUUAGUGAUCUAAGUUUUUUAUCAUUCUGGACUAUUCACCAAGGCCACUUUAGCUGUUGUAUUCUUCUAGCUACUGAUUCUCUCCUCUUAUCUCCUGCCACACAGCAAGAUUCCUGAACACAGACAAUAACUGCUCAAUAAAUGUAAGGAUGAAAGGGCCUGAAAUUGUGACAACUACAUAAGAAAACUGUGUGUCAUGAUGCUAUUAAGGGACUGUAUUCAUUGAAUUCCUUCUAUAUACAAGGUCCAGGCAUAGAUGGAUCCAUGGAAAAGCUUAAGAUAUCUUCAUCAGUCAAGGUCUAAUCAGAAGACAAACCAUGCUCAUUUGAAUAAAGACAGUUUAAUAUAUGAGGAAUUAUUAGCUAUAACAGGGUAUUAGAAUAAUGAAGCACUGGCUAAUAAGAACUAGAGAGCUUUAAAGAGUAUAGCAAUAGCAGAUAUAAGGAACAGCUGCUACUCUAAUGCUGUGAUAGAGUUCCCAAAGAGGAGCCUCUCGCCUCCAGCCAGGGCAGAUUGAGACCCUUUUGAAGAGAGUGUGGCUGUGGCUCAUUAAAUGGCAAGAAGUCACUGGGAAUCUUCCAGUGGAACUUCCUAUAAAUCCACCCUCUAGAAUUUUCUGGCACUUUUACGUUGCUGAGGAAACGUAUUCAUGGGGAGGGGUCUCCUGGAAGCCUCUGCUAUAAAACUGCCCAAUAGGGUGCUAAGGAACACUGCUGGCUGCUGAGUGUUUCUGGCCACCAAUCAAAGCAGGAACAGAUGCUGGAGAAGCUGCUGUGCUGCAGAAGUGUGCCAGUGAGCACAACUGGACCAGGAAGCAAAACCCAUUCCUCCUGAAACGCCUCUUCAGGGCCUUCUACCUAUAAAGCAUAUCAUCACGAAAGAGAACAAAGGAAAAAAAAUUUAAGGCUCAGAUCCAUUUUCUCAGAGCAGUCAGUGAAGGAUGAAUUUGGACCUGAGAGACAAUACAUUGAUAACUGGCACAAGGUCUCAUGAGGUGGUGUAUUAGUCCAUUUUCAUGCUGUUGAUAAAGACAUACCCAAGACUGGGAAGAAAAAGAGGUUUAAUGGACUUACAGUUCCACAUGGCAGGGGAGGCCUCACAAUCAUGGCGGAAGGCAAGGAGGAGCAAGUCAUGGAUGGUAGCAGGCAAAUAGAGAGCUUGUGCAGGGAAACUCCCAUUUUUAAAACCAUCCAAUCUUGUGAGACUUAUUCACUAUUCUGAGAACAGCACAGGAAAGAUCUACCCCAUAAUUCAAUCACCUCCCACCAGGUUCCUCCCAUGACACAUGGGAAUUGUGGGAGUUACAAUUCAAGAUGAGAUUUGUGUGGGGACACAGCCAAACCAUAUCAGGUGGUAAUAUCAAACUCAUCAGUAAUAGCAAUAAGGUAGAGUCUGCCCAUUCCCAGAUGGCUUCACUGGUGAACUAUACCAAACAUUUAAAUAAGAAUCAAUACCAGUUAUCACAAACUCUUACAAAAAACAGAAGAGGAGGGAACACAUCCCAAUUCAUUUGAUGAGGCUAGUAUUACCCUGAUAUCAAAACUAAAGACAUCACAGGAAAAGGAAACUAUCCUUUUCCUUUAUGAAUCAAUAUCCUUUAUGAAUACAGACACAGAAAUCUUCAACAAAACACUAGCAAACUGAAUCCAGCAACAUAUAGAAAGGACUGUAUACUGUGACCAAGUGGAAUUAAUCCCAAGUAUGCAAGGUCUUUUAACAUCUGAAAUCAAUUAAUGUAUUAUGCCAUCUCAAUAGAUGCAGAAAAAGCGUUCGAGAAUGUCUAACACCCUGUCGUGAUUUAAAAACAAAAACAAAACCAAACCUCAAUAAAUAAGAUUAGAAAAGAACCUCCUCCAUUUGAUAAAAGGCAUCUAUGAAAAACCCACAGAUAACACUUAAUAGUGAAAGACUGAAAGCUUUGCACUUAAGAUCGGGAAUAAGACAAGGAAGUCUGCUCUUGCCAUUUCCAUUCAACAUUAUACUGGGGGUUCUGUCCAGGGUAAUUUGGUAAGUAAAAGCAAUAAAAGAUAUCUAGAUAGGAAAGGAAAAAUUAAAACCAUCUAUAUUUGCACGUGAUGUGAUCUGGUAUAUAGAAAAUCCUAAGGCACCCACCCACCCACACAAACACACACACACACACAAAACCAUUAGAGCCCCUAACAAGUUCAGCA